GCUGUCUGUUAACGAUGUUUUUAUUCUUGAGAGAUGCCAUUCUACUGUUUCUUCAUAUACUACACGGAAAAAAAAAUAAAUAAAUUCGUUCCUACGGUGACUGCAUCGCUACUUUAAACGUUUGUAAAAUGUGGCAGAAUGAAAAGGCAAACUGUCGAUUAAACACUUAUCAAGCCGAGAUAAUGGACCUAAAGAAAUGGGGGGAGGUAAUUCUCUAUUUAAGAAUUCUUCGUGAAUUGGAUGCUCUAGCGAAUAAAGUCAUUAAUUGAUUAUUCCAUUUGGGAAUUAAAGAAAAUAUUGAAAUAAACAAAGUCAUCUGGGAAGAUAAAUAAAUUGCUAAAUAAUUGGAUAAAUAUCGGAAUGCAACUGGACGAUAACUGUAAUGAUGAUGAUAUUAUAAUUUGUCAAAAUAAACACAUUUUACUCGAA